rnacentral:rRNA from 1 species
AACGAACGCUGGCGGCAUGCCUAACACAUGCAAGUCGAACGAUACCUUCGGGUCUAGUGGCGCACGGGUGCGUAACGCGUGGGAACCUGCCCUUAGGUGCGGAAUAACUCCCCGGAAGGGGUGCUAAUACCGGAUAAUUUCUUCGGACCAAAGAUUUAUCGCCUUUGGAUGGGCCCGCGUUGGAUUAGCUAGUUGGUAGGGUAAAAGCCUACCAAGGCGACGAUUCAUAGCUGGUCUGAGAGGAUGAGCAGCCACACUGGGACUGAGACACGGCCCAGACUCCUACGGGAGGCAGCAGUGGGGAAUAUUGGACAAUGGGCGAAAGCAUGAUCCAGCAAUGCCGGGUGAGUGAUGAAGGCCUUAGGGUUGUAAAGCUCUUUUACCCGGGAUGAUAAUGACAGUACCGGGAGAAUAAGCGCCGGCUAACUCCGUG